rnacentral:SRP_RNA from 1 species
GCCAGGCAUGGUGGUGCGUGCCUGUAGUCCCAGCUACUCGGGAGGCUGAGGCAGAAGAAUUGCUUGAACCCGGGAGGUGGAGGUUGCAGUGAGCCAAGAUUGCACCACUGCACUCCAGCCUGGGUGACAGAGCAAGACUCUGUCUCAA